AGACCCGAAACCCGGUGAUCUAGCCAUGGGCAGGUUGAAGGUUGGGUAACACUAACUGGAGGACCGAACCGACUAAUGUUGAAAAAUUAGCGGAUGACCUGUGGCUGGGGGUGAAAGGCCAAUCAAACCGGGAGAUAGCUGGUUCUCCCCGAAAGCUAUUUAGGUAGCGCCUCGUGAAUUCAUCUCCGGGGGUAGAGCACUGUUUCGGCUAGGGGGCCAUCCCGGCUUACCAACCCGAUGCAAACUGCGAAUACCGGAGAAUGUUAUCACGGGAGACACACGGCGGGUGCUAACGUCCGUCGUGAAGAGGGAAACAACCCAGACCGCCAGCUAAGGUCCCAAAGUCAUGGUUAAGUGGGAAACGAUGUGGGAAGGCCCAGACAGCCAGGAUGUUGGCUUAGAAGCAGCCAUCAUUUAAAGAAAGCGUAAUAGCUCACUGGUCGAGUCGGCCUGCGCGGAAGAUGUAACGGGGCUAAACCAUGCACCGAAGCUGCGGCAGCGACACUGUGUGUUGUUGGGUAGGGGAGCGUUCUGUAAGCCUGUGAAGGUGUGUCGUGAGGCAUGCUGGAGGUAUCAGAAGUGCGAAUGCUGACAUAAGUAACGAUAAAGCGGGUGAAAAGCCCGCUCGCCGGAAGACCAAGGGUUCCUGUCCAACGUUAAUCGGGGCAGGGUGAGUCGACCCCUAAGGCGAGGCCGAAAGGCGUAGUCGAUGGGAAACGGGUUAAUAUUCCCGUACUUGGUGUUACUGCGAAGGGGGGACGGAGAAGGCUAUGUUGGCCGGGCGACGGUUGUCCCGGUUUAAGCGUGUAGGUGUGUGUUCCAGGUAAAUCCGGUUCACUUUAACACUGAGGCGUGACGACGAGGCACUACGGUGCUGAAGCAACAAAUGCCCUGCUUCCAGGAAAAGCCUCUAAGCAUCAGGUAACAUCAAAUCGUACCCCAAACCGACACAGGUGGUCAGGUAGAGAAUACCAAGGCGCUUGAGAGAACUCGGGUGAAGGAACUAGGCAAAAUGGUGCCGUAACUUCGGGAGAAGGCACGCUGACACGUAGGUGAAGUGAUUUACUCAUGGAGCUGAAGUCAGUCGAAGAUACCAGCUGGCUGCAACUGUUUAUUAAAAACACAGCACUGUGCAAACACGAAAGUGGACGUAUACGGUGUGACGCCUGCCCGGUGCCGGAAGGUUAAUUGAUGGGGUCAGCGCAAGCGAAGCUCCUGAUCGAAGCCCCGGUAAACGGCGGCCGUAACUAUAACGGUCCUAAGGUAGCGAAAUUCCUUGUCGGGUAAGUUCCGACCUGCACGAAUGGCGUAAUGAUGGCCAGGCUGUCUCCACCCGAGACUCAGUGAAAUUGAACUCGCUGUGAAGAUGCAGUGUACCCGCGGCAAGACGGAAAGACCCCGUGAACCUUUACUAUAGCUUGACACUGAACAUUGAGCCUUGAUGUGUAGGAUAGGUGGGAGGCUUUGAAGUGUGGACGCCAGUCUGCAUGGAGCCGACCUUGAAAUACCACCCUUUAAUGUUUGAUGUUCUAACGUGGACCCGUUACCCGGGUUGCGGACAGUGUCUGGUGGGUAGUUUGACUGGGGCGGUCUCCUCCUAAAGAGUAACGGAGGAGCACGAAGGUUGG
rnacentral:rRNA from 1 species